CGCUGCACUUCUACAUAUUAUUCUGCGGGAGAAGCUUAUCUUUUCGGUAUUCUUUGAUGUGUUUAGUGUGUGGUGGGUUCUGCAACAAUUGUUUUUCAUGCUCGUCUAGAAUAGCAUAUUGAAUCUGUAACAGAAAUACGAGAUCUUGAGACAGUCCCCGGUAUUUGUUUGAUUAGUUAAAUCUUUCACCUGUCUGAAGCUGUAGUUGUUUCUAGACAGCUCAGUGAUUCAUAUGUUUUCUGCAUCUUUUCUUUUCUAUACUUCUUUGGUGGUAGGUUUUCUUAUAUUUAUAUUCCAAUUUUGUACCACAAUACGGCCAGACACAUAUAAUGAUUUACAUAGGGAUUUAUUCUCUUAUAUGUUCCUUGUUGGCAUGUAUCUGAUUGACAUCUAUUUUUAAUUCCUGUGUCUGUUGCAGUAAGCACUUACUACUAAUUUUGUUUAGUCAUGAGUGUCUUGGUAUUGCUCUGAAGUUAACAAUUUGAGGAACAAAUCCGUUAGUGUACUCUCAGUCUUGGGUUUUCACCAUGGUUAUACUUAACCUGUGAGAUCACUCAGUUGAAUUAUUUGCAUAAGGAAAAGGUUGCAGCAUUAGCAGCUUGACAAUCCCCUUCCAUACUGAGUGUGAGUUCCGACAUUUGGCCAGUAAACAUGGAAUAAUGCUCAUGAGCAGGAAGUGCAAGUGUAUCAAUGGAGUCUUUUCAAACAUGAAUGAGCUGUUGCAGUGGAACAAACUUAAUGGUUAAGGUGGUUGCAGAAGGACAUCUCCGCUUAGCUUACACUGCAGGAAGCGUGCCAAGAGCUUCAUUUGUCGAUUUGGAAGUCUCUCAUUGCUGCACUUAAGCAUUUAUGAGGACUCAUGCAGCAGCUUGUGAGUUGUUUCCCGAGUUGAACUAGGUUUGAAUGCUUUGCCUCCCUUCCUGUAGACUCUGCAAAACGCAUAAAUACCGAAGGACCAGAUGGAAUAUGAAUGGUCAGAGAUUUGUGAGUACAAACCCAGAUCUUGAUUUUCAGCUGCUACCAAUCCCUCAAUAACAGCCUAUGUCCGUGUGUCCUUGAUGUCUUAGUAGGUUGGUCAGUUUUUCUUUUUAAUGUGCAAUGAUUAUGGAUGUUAUUAGCACACAAAUAUGUUCCAAGUUUUUUGUUGUCUUAUUGGUUAACCAGAAGAGGUGGAUGGAUUUUGUAGUUGACUUUGUUGAUUUUCAGAAUAAAAUCCUUACUGUUUUUGCAUUGUA